UAUGGAGAGUUUGAUCCUGGCUCAGAGUGAACGCUGGCGGCGUGCCUAAUACAUGCAAGUCGAACGAUGAAGCUUUCUAGCUUGCUAGAAUGCUGAUUAGUGGCGCACGGGUGAGUAACGCAUAGGUCAUGUGCCUCUUAGUUUGGGAUAGCCAUUGGAAACGAUGAUUAAUACCAGAUACUCCCUACGGGGGAAAGAUUUAUCGCUAAGAGAUCAGCCUAUGUCCUAUCAGCUUGUUGGUAAGGUAAUGGCUUACCAAGGCUAUGACGGGUAUCCGGCCUGAGAGGGUGAACGGACACACUGGAACUGAGACACGGUCCAGACUCCUACGGGAGGCAGCAGUAGGGAAUAUUGCUCAAUGGGGGAAACCCUGAAGCAGCAACGCCGCGUGGAGGAUGAAGGUUUUAGGAUUGUAAACUCCUUUUGUUAGAGAAGAUAAUGACGGUAUCUAACGAAUAAGCACCGGCUAACUCCGUGCCAGCAGCCGCGGUAAUACGGAGGGUGCAAGCGUUACUCGGAAUCACUGGGCGUAAAGAGCGCGUAGGCGGGAUAGUCAGUCAGGUGUGAAAUCCUAUGGCUUAACCAUAGAACUGCAUUUGAAACUACUAUUCUAGAGUGUGGGAGAGGUAGGUGGAAUUCUUGGUGUAGGGGUAAAAUCCGUAGAGAUCAAGAGGAAUACUCAUUGCGAAGGCGACCUGCUAGAACAUUACUGACGCUGAUUGCGCGAAAGCGUGGGGAGCAAACAGGAUUAGAUACCCUGGUAGUCCACGCCCUAAACGAUGGAUGCUAGUUGUUGGAGGGCUUAGUCUCUCCAGUAAUGCAGCUAACGCAUUAAGCAUCCCGCCUGGGGAGUACGGUCGCAAGAUUAAAACUCAAAGGAAUAGACGGGGACCCGCACAAGCGGUGGAGCAUGUGGUUUAAUUCGAAGAUACACGAAGAACCUUACCUAGGCUUGACAUUGAGAGAAUCCGCUAGAAAUAGUGGAGUGUCUGGCUUGCCAGACCUUGAAAACAGGUGCUGCACGGCUGUCGUCAGCUCGUGUCGUGAGAUGUUGGGUUAAGUCCCGCAACGAGCGCAACCCCCUUUCUUAGUUGCUAACAGGUUAUGCUGAGAACUCUAAGGAUACUGCCUCCGUAAGGAGGAGGAAGGUGGGGACGACGUCAAGUCAUCAUGGCCCUUACGCCUAGGGCUACACACGUGCUACAAUGGGGUGCACAAAGAGAAGCAAUACUGCGAAGUGGAGCCAAUCUUCAAAACACCUCUCAGUUCGGAUUGUAGGCUGCAACUCGCCUGCAUGAAGCUGGAAUCGCUAGUAAUCGCAAAUCAGCCAUGUUGCGGUGAAUACGUUCCCGGGUCUUGUACUCACCGCCCGUCACACCAUGGGAGUUGUGUUUGCCUUAAGUCAGGAUGCUAAAUUGGCUACUGCCCACGGCACACACAGCGACUGGGGUGAAGUCGUAACAAGGUAACCGUAGGUGAACCUGCGGUUGGAUCACCUCCUU
rnacentral:rRNA from 1 species